ensembl:lncRNA
AAGGCAUUUUGUGUUUUCUGUCCUUGACAGUUCUGAUCAGAAGACGAAGGAUUAAAGCCUUACCUCUGUAAAAGUUACACUGUUUAUUCCUCCGACCACGAAGAAGAAGAAGAAGGCAUAACUAUCUUAUUCCUCCGACCACGAAGAAGAAGAAGAAGAAGGCAUAACUAUCUUAUUCCUCCGACCACGAAGAAGAAGAAGGCAUAACUAUCUUAUUCCUCCGACCACGAAGAAGAAGAAGGCAUAACUAUCUUAUUCCUCCGACCACGAAGAAGAAGAAGGCAUAACUAUCUUAUUCCUCCGACCACGAAGAAGAAGAAGAAGGCGUAACUAUCUUAUUCCUCCGACCACGAAGAAGAAGAAGGCAUAACUAUCUUAUUCCUCCGACCACGAAGAAGAAGAAGAAGGCAUAACUAUCUUAUUCCUCCGACCACGAAGAAGAAGAAGAAGAAGGCGUAACUAUCUUACAACAGGCUCAUAGUAAAGCAUUUAAUAUCAAGUAUCCAUCCAGUCUACUCCCUCGUGAUAAUUCAUUGUAAAUCAACAACUUUUAAAUCCCUGCUUGAAUUGUAUUUCAGUUGAAGCUCUGAGCCGUAGCAGCAGAUGGAGACCUAGGGUGUAUCCCAAAUAGCAUCCUCUUCCCCAUAUAGUGCACUAGAGAAAUCUAUAUGUAAUCCAGUGUAAAUACCUUAUUGACGAGACAGACCAGGAACACAUGUUUAUUCAUUUAUUCCCUCUUCAGAUCUUUAUUUCUCUAUUUGUGUACUCAGAACAGACCGGGUUCUGUCGCUGUGCUCAGAACAGACCGGGUUCUGUCGCUGUACUCAGAACAGACCGGGUUCUGUCGCUGUGCUCAGAACAGACCGGGUUCUGUCGCUGUACUCAGAACAGACCGGGUUCUGUCGCUGUACUCAGAACAGACCGGGUUCUGUCGCUG